rnacentral:rRNA from 1 species
UGGGGAAUAUUGGACAAUGGGCCACGAGCCUGAUCCAGCAAUUCUGUGUGGGUGAUGACGGUCUUAGGAUUGUAAAGCCCUUUCAGUGGGGAAGAAGAAAGUGACAGUACCCACAGAAGAAGCCACGGCUAACUACGUGCCAGCAGCCGCGGUAAGACGUAGGUGGCAAGCGUUAUCCGGAAUCACUGGGCGUAAAGGGCAUCUAGGCGGUUUAUUAAGUCAGAAGUGAAAUACCGGGGCUCAACCCCGGGACUGCUUUUGAAACUGGUAGACUAGAAUACGGGAUAGGAGGGCGGAACUACAAGUGUAGAGGUGAAAUUCGUAGAUAUUUGUAGGAAUGCCGAUGACGAAGGUAGCUCUCUGGACCGACAUUGACGCUGAAGUGCGAAAGCUAGGGUAG